rnacentral:rRNA from 1 species
GACGAACGCUGGCGGCGUGCCUAACACAUGCAAGUCGAGCGGGGUUGAAGCGAGGGGUAACUCGAGUUUCUACCUAGCGGCGGACGGGUGAGUAACGCGUGGGCAACCUGCCUCAAGGACUGGGAUAACAGCUCGAAAGGGCUGCUAAUACCGGAUAAGCCUAUGGCCUCGCAUGGGGCCAUGAGCAAAGGGGAAACCCGCCUUGAGAUGGGCCCGCGUCCCAUCAGCUAGUUGGUGAGGUGAAGGCUCACCAAGGCGACGACGGGUAGCCGGCCUGAGAGGGUGACCGGCCACACUGGGACUGAGACACGGCCCAGACUCCUACGGGGGCAGCAGUGGGGAAUCUUGCACAAUGGGCGAAAGCCUGAUGCAGCGACGCCGCGUGAGCGAAGAAGGCCUUCGGGUUGUAAAGCUCUGUCUGGAGGGACGAAGGAAGUGACGGUACCUCCGGAGGAAGCCACGGCUAACUACGUGCCAGCAGCCGCGGUAAUACGUAG